rnacentral:rRNA from 1 species
GAACGUACGCUGGCGGCACGCCUAACACAUGCAAGUCGAACGAAGUAGCAAUACUUAGUGGCAGACGGGUGAGUAACAUGUAGGUAUCUGCCCUUUGGCCUGGAAUAACACGAGGAAACUUGUGCUAAUACCGGAUAAGUCUUUACGGAGAAAGCUUUAUGCACCAUUGGAUGAGCCUGCACUUGAUUAGUUUGUUGGUGGGGUAAUGGCCUACCAAGACUGUGAUCAAUAGCUGAUUUGAGAGGAUGAUCAGCCACAUUGGGACUGAGACACGGCCCAAACUCCUACGGGAGGCAGCAGUGGGGAAUCUUGCACAAUGGAGGAAACUCUGAUGCAGCGAUGCCGCGUGAGUGAAGAAGGCCUUUGGGUUGUAAAGCUCUUUCGUCGGGGAAGAAAAUGACUGUACCCGAAUAAGAAGGUCCGGCUAACUUCGUGCCAGCAGCCGUGGUAAUACGAAGGGACCUAGCGUAGUUCGGAAUUACUGGGCUUAAAGAGUUCGUAGGUGGUUGAAAAAGUUGGUGGUGAAAUCCCAGAGCUUAACUCUGGAACUGCCAUCAAAACUUUUCAGCUAGAGUUUGAUAGAGGAAAGCAGAAUUUCUAGUGUAGAGGUGAAAUUCGUAGAUAUUAGAAAGAAUACCAAUUGCGAAGGCAGCUUUCUGGAUCAUUACUGACGCUGAGGAACGAAAGCAUGGGUAGCGAAGAGGAUUAGAUACCCUCGUAGUCCAUGCCGUAAACGAUGUGUGUUAGACGUUGGAAAUUUAUUUUCAGUGUCGCAGCGAAAGCAAUAAACACACCGCCUGGGGAGUACGACCGCAAGGUUAAAACUCAAAUGAAUUGACGGGGACCCGCACAAGUAGUGGAGCAUGUGGUUUAAUUCGAAGAUACGCGCAGAACCUUACCAACACUUGACAUGUUCGUCGCGACUUUAAGAGAUUAAAGUUUUCGGUUCGGCCGGACGAAACACAGGUGCUGCAUGGCUGUCGUCAGCUCGUGUCGUGAGAUGUUGGGUUAAGUCCCGCAACGAGCGCAACCCUCACUUUUAGUUGCCAUCAUUAAGUUGGGCACUCUGAAAGAACUGCCAGUGAUAAGCUGGAGGAAGGUGGGGAUGACGUCAAGUCCUCAUGGCCCUUACGUGUUGGGCUACACACGUGCUACAAUGGUAUCUACAACAGGAAGCAAAACGGCGACGUUAAGCAAAUCCCUAAAAGAUACCUCAGUUCGGAUUGCACUCUGCAACUCGAGUGCAUGAAGCUGGAAUUACUAGUAAUCGUGGAUCAGCGUGCCACGGUGAAUGCGUUCCCGGGUCUUGUACACACCGCCC